rnacentral:rRNA from 1 species
CCUACGGGUGGCAGCAGUGAGGAAUAUUGGUCAAUGGGCGGGAGCCUGAACCAGCCAAGCCGCGUGAGGGAAGAAGGUACAGCGUAUCGUAAACCUCUUUUGUCAGGGAACAAAGGCGGGGACUAGUCCCCGGAUGAGGGUACCUGAAGAAAAAGCAUCGGCUAACUCCGUGCCAGCAGCCGCGGUAAUACGGAGGAUGCGAGCGUUAUCCGGAUUUAUUGGGUUUAAAGGGUGCGCAGGCGGAGGCACAAGUCAGCGGUAAAAUCGCGGGGCUCAACCCCGCUCCGCCGUUGAAACUGUGUCCCUUGAGUGCGCGAAGGGUAGGCGGAAUGCGUGGUGUAGCGGUGAAAUGCAUAGAUAUCACGCAGAACUCCGAUCGCGAAGGCAGCCUACCGGCGCGCAACUGACGCUCAUGCACGAAAGCGUGGGUAUCGAACAGGAUUAGAUACCCGGGUAGUC